UACGGAGGGUGCAAGCGUUAUCCGGAUUUACUGGGUUUAAAGGGUGCGUAGGUGGGCAAGUAAGUCAGUGGUGAAAUCUCCGGGCUUAACCCGGAAACUGCCAUUGAUACUAUUUGUCUUGAAUACUGUGGAGGUCAGCGGAAUAUGUCAUGUAGCGGUGAAAUGCUUAGAUAUGACAUAGAACACCAAUUGCGAAGGCAGCUGGCUACACAAAUAUUGACACUGAGGCACGAAAGCGUGGGGAUCAAACAGG
rnacentral:rRNA from 1 species